GACGAACGCUGGCGGCGUGCUUAACACAUGCAAGUCGAACGGAAAGGCCCUGCUUUUGUGGGGUGCUCGAGUGGCGAACGGGUGAGUAACACGUGAGUAACCUGCCCUUGACUUUGUGAUAACUUCAGGAAACUGGGGCUAAUACCGGAUAUGAGCUCCUGCUGCAUGGUGGGGGUUGGAAAGAUUCGGCGGUUGUGGCUAGUCUCGCGGCUUAUCAGCUGGUUUGUGGGGUAGUGGCUGACCAAGGCUUUGACGGGUAGCCGGCAUGAGAGGGUGACCGGGCACAUUGGGACUGAGAUACGCAGCAGACUCGUACGGGCGGCAGUGGUGGAGAAUAUUGCGCAGUGGGCGGGAGUCUGAUGUAGCAACGCCGGGUGCGGGAUGAUGGGUUUCGGGUUGUAAACAGAUUUCGACUGUGACGAAGCGUGAGUGACGGUAAUGGGUCAAAAAGCACCGGCUAACUACGUG
rnacentral:rRNA from 1 species